UACGAAGGGGGCUAGCGUUGUUCGGAAUUACUGGGCGUAAAGGGCGCGUAGGCGGUCCUGAUCGUCGGAUGUGAAAGGCCUGGGCUCAACCUGGGAAUGGCAUCCGAUACGGCGGGACUGGAGUGUGGGAGAGGUUGGUGGAAGUUCCCAGUGUAGAGGUGAAAUUCGUAGAUAUUGGGAAGAACACCGGUGGCGAAGGCGGCCAACUGGACCACAACUGACGCUGAGGCGCGAAAGCGUGGGGAGCAAACAGG
rnacentral:rRNA from 1 species